rnacentral:rRNA from 1 species
AGCGAACGCUGGCGGCAGGCCUAACACAUGCAAGUCGAACGGAUCCUUCGGGAUUAGUGGCGGACGGGUGAGUAACACGUGGGAACGUGCCCUUUGGUUCGGAACAACUCAGGGAAACUUGAGCUAAUACCGGAUGUGCCCUUCGGGGGAAAGAUUUAUCGCCAUUGGAGCGGCCCGCGUCUGAUUAGCUAGUUGGUGGGGUAAAGGCCCACCAAGGCGACGAUCAGUAGCUGGUCUGAGAGGAUGGCCAGCCACAUUGGGACUGAGACACGGCCCAAACACCUACGGGAGGCAGCAGUGGGGAAUCUUGCGCAAUGGGCGAAAGCCUGACGCAGCCAUGCCGCGUGAAUGAUGAAGGUCUUAGGAUUGUAAAAUUCUUUCCCCGGGGACGAUAAUGACGGUACCCGGAGAAGAAGCCCCGGCUAACUUCGUGCCAGCCGCCGCCGUAA